rnacentral:rRNA from 1 species
GGGGGACAUUCCACGUUUUCCGCGCCGUAGCUAACGCAUUAAGUGCCCCGCCUGGGGAGUACGGCCGCAAGGCUAAAACUCAAAGGAAUUGACGGGGGCCCGCACAAGCGGCGGAGCAUGCGGAUUAAUUCGAUGCAACGCGAAGAACCUUACCAAGGCUUGACAUAUACCGGAUCGUUCCAGAGAUGGUUCUUCCCCUUUGGGGUCGGUAUACAGGUGGUGCAUGGUUGUCGUCAGCUCGUGUCGUGAGAUGUUGGGUUAAGUCCCGCAACGAGCGCAACCCUCGUUCCAUGUUGCCAGCACGUGAUGGUGGGGACUCAUGGGAGACUGCCGGGGUCAACUCGGAGGAAGGUGGGGAUGACGUCAAAUCAUCAUGCCCCUUAUGUCUUGGGCUUCACGCAUGCUACAAUGGCCGGUACAAAGGGUUGCGAUACUGUGAGGUGGAGCUAAUCCCAAAAAGCCGGUCUCAGUUCGGAUUGAGGUCUGCAACUCGACCUCAUGAAGUCGGAGUCGCUAGUAAUCGCAGAUCAGCAACGCUGCGGUGAAUACGUUCCCGGGCCUUGUACACACCGCCCGUCAAGUCACGAAAGUCGGUAACUGAGUGAGAUCCGGUGUCACGAAGUCUUAGGCAGAGAUAACAUGAUAUAGAUGCCA